GUUUUUUGCUCGGCAGGGACACAGAAUUGCUUAACGUGCAAAAUCGUUUCCUCGGGAAAUGGCAAAAGACUAUAAGAAAAAAAGUCGCGGUGAAAAAAAUUCUGGUUUAGACCAGCAUCCAUAGGACAAUGGAGCACAUUUUAACGCCAAAGAGAACUGACUGUGGACCUCAAUCUGACCUAAUAUAUAUUUUUAUUUGAAAUGACCGGUGGAAGAAGUGAAAUUGUUAGAGCCAUACACUGCAAUGAAGCCAGCCACUGGCACUCUCUAUCUCACAGAAACCCCUGUAACACUCGCAAGGAAACCUAGUUGAAUGCCAUGGCCAAUAGAGCAGUAGGGAAGGCAUACGAGAAUGAGGACAACUACUCAAACAUCCGCUUUCAGUUUGUGGGCAUCGAGAAUAUCCAUGUCAUGAGAAACAGUCUGCAGAAGCUUCUAAAAGUGUGUGCUAUGAAGUCUCCAACAAUGACUGACUACUUGACGGGACUGGAGAAUUCUGGUUGGCUGCGUCACAUCAAGGCUGUGAUGGAUGCUGGAGUUUCUAGCUAAGGUUUUGAUAGAAAAAGAAUGGAUAUGUAUGGGUCAUGAGUUUACACAAAGGUAAUAACUUUGUACAAGGUUAGUCAUUUAACCAUUUUGGUGUCCAAUCAUUAGUGUAUGCUAAAUUAGUGAACUUUGAGACUAAAAUAAUUGAACUAUCGGACAAAAUAAAACCAGGAUGUCAUAAGUUAAGAUCUUCAUGGUGCAUCUAGGCCAUACUAAGAGAACGGAUGUAAUAUUGAUUUGUAGGUGUGGGCAUGUGGACAGGGAUCCCAAGGAGUCCCCUGUAUUCACCCAGUUUAUUGAAUGUCUUUGGAAUCUCAUGGAGCAGUACCCCUGUGGCUUUGAGUACAACGAAAAGUACCUUUUGGAAAUCCACAACAAUGUUUAUGCCUGCCAGUUUGGAAACUUCAUUGGCAACUACCAAAGAGAGCGAGAAGAGAUGUGACUUAAGGAGAGCACCUUCUCGGUUUGGCCAUUUCUCUGGGAGAAAUGCCCUCGGUACAGAAAUCCUCUGUACAAGCGCUCAUUAGGAAGGGAAGUUCUGAGGCCACGCACAUCACCAUUGAAUUUCAAGGCAUGCAGCCAAAGCAAUCCAUUCUGGAUCACCUGCUAACCAUAACACAGAAAAAGGCAGAGGGUGAGAAGAAAAUGACAGAUCUCCAGAGACAGCUGGCAGUCAUGGAUGGGGUUUUAGCAGACCAGGGCAGUCCAAAAGGCACAUAACCUGAACAAACCUCAUUGUCUCCUAUAUUGAUUGGCCACACAACCGAAGAUGCUAAACCACUGAUGAAUUGUCCUGUUGCAGUAGAGGCUGGAAUAGAGUUGGUGCCUACUGCAGGGAGUGAGCAGGUGAAACCAGCAGCCACAGAAAAUGGAGUUACUGCCACAAAGGGCACAGUUGUUGCCAUUAAGACUCCAGAUGGCAAAGAGGAGGGACAAGGUUCCUCUGAAAUAAACACUGAAGCAAUUAAGAUUGAGUCCUGAUGGACACUUUAAAAAUGGGGUAUAAUCUCCAAGGAGAUUUGACUGAGCAAAUUACAGCCUUAAUGAUGAAACCAGAUACUUUUUGGAUACUUUUUCUGAUGCUACGAUGAUCAAAUUCUUUAGCAGCCAUAUAUGUUGAACAUUUCUUUAGCAUAAAAAAAAAUAUAUAUAUAUAUAUAUAUAUAAAACACUCAGCAAAAAAAGAAACGUCCUCCCGCUGUCAACUGCGUUUUAUUUUCAGCAAACUUAA